rnacentral:rRNA from 1 species
CAGCCGCCACGGUAAUACGUAGGGUGCGAGCGUUAAUCGGAAUUACUGGGCGUAAAGCGUGCGCAGGCGGUUUUGUAAGACAGAGGUGAAAUCCCCGGGCUCAACCUGGGAACUGCCUUUGUGACUGCAAGGCUGGAGUGUGGCAGAGGGGGAUGGAAUUCCGCGUGUAGCAGUGAAAUGCGUAGAUAUGCGGAGGAACACCGAUGGCGAAGGCAAUCCCCUGGGCCUACACUGACGCUCAUGCACGAAAGCGUGGGGAGCAAACAGGAUUAGAUACCCCUGUAGUCCCUGUCUCUUAUAC